ensembl:snoRNA
AUCGAGGCUAGAGUCACUCCUGGGUAUUGGUUAUUGCCCUAGUGUGCUAGAGUCCUCGAAGAGUAACUGCUGUCCUUAUUCACUGGCUGUGGCCCUGAUGGCACAGUCAGUCACCAGGUUAGUGACAUGG